AAAUAACUUGAAAUGUUUCAUCUUAUAAAAAAUUCUGUAUCAUUUAGAAUUGAUUGAAAUCGAAGGUGCGCUUCUAGGGUUCCCUUUCGCAGUUGAGAUUUGAGAAUUGAGAUUCGAGAAAAUGGCCGGUUUACCAGCGAGGCUCCGUAUACAACCCGCGGACGUCAAAGCCGCUGCCAUGUGGGGCGUUGCUGCCGCCACUGGCGGUCUCUACCUCGUUCAGCCAUGGGGAUGGUUGAAGAAGACAUUCUUGGAGAAGCCAGAACCUGAGCAAAAAUGAGUUGGCAUCUGAGAAGAAUGUUUUGAAUUUUGGGAUCAUGUGAAGAAUGACUCAAAGAAUAAUGUCACUUUCUGCUGAGGUCUUCUAGCACCUGGUUUAUGUUAUAAAUUUGGAUAUUAAAUUUUAGCAUUCUGUGCUGGUGGUUUUACCGGAUUUUUUUUGUUUUAUAUCAACUUCCUUCUUGCUCCACCAUUUCUAAUUUUGUGGCAAUAACAUUCUCUGCCAAAGAUGGUACAUUUGGAAUUUCUCACCUUUCAAUUAAAAAGAACUGGGCACACGAGAUUCCUGAAUAAUCUUCAAUGCAGGGUCCAUUUUAUUUAGUUUUAAUUUGCAUUUCUUGGGUUCCAUUGUUUUACAUUAUUUUAAAGAUCUUUUGGUAACUUUUACUCGGAUGUAAGCAUCUAAUGAAAUGAUUUUUGUUUAGGAUAAAUUUUUGUUUUAUUCUUGUCACUCAGGUCUUUUUCAUGACUCUCAGAUUGUUGAAUUUUAUGCCAUGUACAAUGAGGAGGUUUUGAAUUUAUGAUGUGUAUUAUUUCUCUAAUGGAGCUACCCUUAGAGUAAAGGUGCUCAGGCCAAAAAGGUGGGAAUAUAAACUAAUUGUCCUUGUUAAAGUUAUAAAUCAAAAUGCAAUGAAAAAAGUUAAAAGAUAUAUUUUUAAUAAUCAGUC
rnacentral:sRNA from 1 species